rnacentral:ncRNA from 2 species
AAUUGCGCCCAUGCUUUUGGUGAGCCAGGCCUUUGCAGAGAUGCAGGUCUGGAACUUAAUCGGGAAGCCGGUGCGUGAAACCCCAGGGUUUCGCAAUGCCGGCGCUGCCCCCGCAACGGUAGAGGAGUGGGAACAGCCUAAGCCACUGUAUCGCAGGAUAUGGGAAGGCGCUGUUCUUGGAUGCAGGCGAUGCCUGAAUCGACUCCUGAGCCCGGAGACCGGCCAGAAGCGUUAGCAGUCG